rnacentral:rRNA from 1 species
UACGAAGGGGGCUAGCGUUGCUCGGAAUCACUGGGCGUAAAGGGUGCGUAGGCGGGUCUUUUAAGUCAGGGGUGAAAUCCUGGAGCUCAACUCCAGAACUGCCUUUGAUACUGAAGAUCUUGAGUUCGGGAGAGGUGAGUGGAACUGCGAGUGUAGAGGUGAAAUUCGUAGAUAUUCGCAAGAACACCAGUGGCGAAGGCGGCUCACUGGCCCGAUACUGACGCUGAAGCACGAAAGCGUGGGGAGCAACAGG